AUUAAUAAUUAAUAUAUUUAAUAAAAAUAAUUUUAAUUUAAUAAAUAUUUUAAUGGGGGUUAAAGUAUUUUUUAAAGAAAAAAUUUUUAAAUUUAUAGUUAAUUAGUAUUGUGAAAGAAUUUUGAAAUAUUAUGAAAAAUAAAAUUUUUAUAAAGUAAUUUUUAUUUAUUGUAUCUUGUGUAUCAGAGUUUAUUAAAAAUUUUUAAUUUAUAAAUUAAUUUCUCGAAUUUAAAAGAGUUAAAUAAUUAUUAAAGUUAUUGUAGCAAAAUUAUUUUAAAUAAUUAUUUAGAAAUGAAAUGUUAAUCGUUUUUAAAUAUAUCUAGUUUUUAUAGAAAAAAAUUUAAUUUUAAAUUUAAAAAUUAUUUAAUUAAUUUAUUAAUUAAAUAAUUAUUUAAAUUUUAUAAUUUAAGGGAUAAGCUUUAAAUUAAAUUUUUAUAAUAUUAAAUUUUUAUUUUGAAAAUUUUAUAAUUUAUAUUGUUAAUAAAUUUUAUUUUGUUAUAAAUAAUUUCAUUUUUUUUAAAAUUUAAAUUUUAUUUAAUUUUUUAUAUAAAAUUUAUUUAUAAUUAUAUAAAGUUAAUUAUAAUGAUAAAAUUAGUAUAUUAUUUAAUAUUAAAUUAAAAUUAAUUUUUGAUUAAUAAUUAAAUUAAUUAAAAGGAAUUCGGCAAAUAUUUAUUUUCACUUGUUUAUCAAAAACAUGUCUUUUUGUUAUUUAAUUUAAAGUCUAAUCUGCCCACUGAUUUAUAAAAAUUGAAGGGCUGCAGUAUAUUGACUGUACAAAGGUAGCAUAAUCAUUAGUCUCUUAAUUGGUGACUUGUAUGAAAGAUUGGAUGAAAAAUAUACUGUCUCUUAAUUAAUAUAUAGAAUUUAAUUUUUUAUUUAAAAAGUUAAAAUAAUUUAAAAAGACGAGAAGACCCUAUAGAGUUUAAUAAAUUAUUUUAUGAAAGUUUUAUUUAUAUUUACUAAUAAUUUUAUAAAUUUAUUUAUUUUGUUGGGGUGAUAAAAAAAUAAAUUUAACUUUUUUUAAGUAAUUUACAUGAAUAAGUGAUUAAU
rnacentral:rRNA from 3 species